rnacentral:rRNA from 1 species
GACGUAGGGUGCGAGCGUUGUCCGGAUUUAUUGGGCGUAAAGAGCGUGUAGGCGGCUUGGUAGGUCUCGCGUCAAAACCUGAGGCUCAACCUCAGUUCGCGUGGGAAACCACCUAGCUAGAGUCCGGAAGAGGAGAACGGAAUUCCCAGUGUAGCGGUGAAAUGCGCAGAUAUUGGGAAGAACACCAGUGGCGAAGGCGGUUCUCUGGGACGGUACUGACGCUGAGACGCGAAAGCGUGGGGAGCGAACAGG